rnacentral:lncRNA from 1 species
GCUCAAUCCAGUGGACAGAGUUUACUAUGAAGAUGCAUCACCCCCUCUUCUUCGAUUUCAAUGCCAGUUGGGGGGAUUACUUGCAGGAUGUUCUAAAUUUGGUGGUUGAUCAUGUAAUUAUAUCUGUGGGCGGGCUACUCACAAUGUAUGGUGUGUUGUCUGGGUGUUCUUCUCUGUUCUGUAGCUCUGAAUAUUGUAUUAUAUUUCCUUUUCAAAUCUAGCAGUUGCUCUGUUUUCUUCCCCCC